rnacentral:rRNA from 1 species
GAGUUUGAUCGUGGCUCAGAUUGAACGCUGGCGGCAUGCCUUACACAUGCAAGUCGAACGGCAGCACGGGAGCUUGCUCCUGGUGGCGAGUGGCGAACGGGUGAGUAAUGCAUCGGAACGUAUCCUGGAGUGGGGGAUAACGUAGCGAAAGUUACGCUAAUACCGCAUAUUCUGUGAGCAGGAAAGCGGGGGACCUUCGGGCCUCGCGCUCUUGGAGCGGCCGAUGUCGGAUUAGCUAGUUGGUGAGGUAAAGGCUCACCAAGGCGACGAUCCGUAGCAGGUCUGAGAGGAUGAUCUGCCACACUGGAACUGAGACACGGUCCAGACUCCUACGGGAGGCAGCAGUGGGAAUUUUGGACAAUGGGGGCAACCCUGAUCCAGCCAAUGCCGCGUGAGUGAAGAAGGCCUCGGUUGGUAAGUAC